AUCCAGCUGACGAGUCCCAAAUAGGAUAAAACACACAUCCUAGAU
rnacentral:hammerhead_ribozyme from 1 species